UAUCACUCAGCUUGUAGCAUCUAGGUACCUCCGCGUGCUCGAGUUGUAAUUUGAAGAUAGUUUUCUGGUACUGGCCCUUGUCUAUGUUCCUUGGAACAGGACGUCAUAGAGGGUGAGAAUCCCGUCUGAUGGGGUGUCCAGUGCUUUGUAGAUUUCUAUCGAAGAGUCGAGUUGUUUGGGAAUGCAGCUCUAAGUGGGUGGUAAAUUCCAUCUAAAGCUAAAUACUGGCGAGAGACCGAUAGCGAACAAGUACAGUGAUGGAAAGAUGAAAAGAACUUUGAAAAGAGAGUGAAAAAGUACGUGAAAUUGUUGAAAGGGAAGGGUAUUGGAUCAGACUUGGUGUUUUGGAUUAUCCCUUCUGGGUUGGACUCGAUUUCACUGGGCCAGCAUCGGUUCGGAUGGCAAGAUAAUGGCUUGGGAACGUGGCACUCUUCGAGUGUGUUAUAUCCCUUGUUGAUGUUGCCUAUCUGGACCGAGGACUGCGGCUUCUGCCUAGAUGCUGGCCGUAAUGAUUCACUACC
rnacentral:rRNA from 1 species